UACGUAGGGUGCAAGCGUUAAUCGGAAUUACUGGGCGUAAAGCGUGCGCAGGCGGUUUUGUAAGACUGUCGUGAAAUCCCCGGGCUCAACCUGGGAAUGGCGAUGGUGACUGCAAGGCUAGAGUUUGGCAGAGGGGGGUAGAAUUCCACGUGUAGCAGUGAAAUGCGUAGAGAUGUGGAGGAAUACCGAUGGCGAAGGCAGCCUCCUGGGCCAACACUGACGCUCAUGCACGAAAGCGUGGGGAGCAAACAGG
rnacentral:rRNA from 1 species